CUUGGUACAGUGGAGAAACAGAAGGCCCAGAAUUUCUUGCCGUUUAUUACACUGUAAAGUGGGAGCAUACACAGAUGUGGAGUGAGGAAGAUAGCAAAGCCCUCUUAAACACAUGUUUGGAUCAUGGACAGACACAGGACUUCAUAAGAAGAGUUCACCAUGCAUGGCGUGGACACACUCCAAGCUGUUCACACUGGCUUGUUUCCAAAUGGGCACAAAUCCCCUCUGCAUACCCAAGUGAAUGAUCAUCUCCAGUGCAGUGGCUGAGCUACGCGAUUCUCCCAUAACUGUCAUGUUGAUGGUAAAACAACCUGAAGAAAUGAGAAAAAGCCUGGUUGGUUAUCAUUUCCUUCCAACUAUCCUUCACACUUCACUGCACCCAUGAGUAAAAUUUGUGUAAUGAAUGCACUGGGUCUGAGCAAUAUUGAUGCCACUGUGUACAAGAAAUAAUCAAGAAGUUAACAAAGCAACGAUGGCGUCUUUGCAGUCAGAGAUCUAAAGGGGAGAAGAGAAUGAGGUAGGUAAAUGGUAGGAUGUGGGAUCCAAAGAUAGCCUAUCUUCAACAUCCUGCAAUAUUAAAACUGGAAGAAGUGAAGCCUCCUUAUGUGAUGAGAAAAAUGCAGAUCAGCUGGGCGCAGCAAAGCACGCUCGGUCACACAGCAUGCCAGGGCCAGAGACACAAGUAGACGUCCGCACGACAGCACAGGUGAAUGAUCUUUUCCCAAGGCCAUCCUACUGUGACUUUGCACCAUCUGCCAUUGCUCUGCUCUUUUCUCUAGGUUAAAAUUUUCCAGAAUUUCUAAGCCCUCUUUGUGUUGUUUUCCCAUGUUUAGCAUCGUGGUUACUGUCCUUUGUUUGUGCUCUCAUUUGCUAACGCUCAUUAAUUUUGUGCCCUCACAGAGAGGGCAUUGCCACAGACACACUUCAGCCUAAUGAGAGGAGUCCAGGAUGAUGAACUCUUCAAUCUGGAUGAUGUACUUCUAUGGGCAACAUGUAAGAACAGAUCAGCUUUUGUGGUUGUUGAUUAACAUCGAGCUUAAUGCCGAACACAUUUAACUUGUCUAUGUCAUGCCUUCAAAGUCCUCAGAGACAUACACCAUCAACCUGAACAUUGAUUCUUAAUGUGAUGAAUUCUUUCCAUGAUAUAAUAAUAAUAAUAAUAGAACAGUAGUAAAGACUGAUACUUAUUCUUUGCUUUGUGCUAGACAUUUUACACAUCAUGCUUUAUAUGUAUUAACUCAUUUUAAUCUUCACAAAAGUGUUUUGAGUUACCUACUAUUAUUUUCUCUAAUUUACAGAUGAGGAAAUUGAAGGCAAGUAAGGUAAAUCAUGUGUUCAAGGUCACACAACCAGUAGGGAGUAAUGUCAAGCUUAACCAAGGGAAUUAGGCCAGGCACGGUGGCUCA
rnacentral:lncRNA from 10 species